UCCAGCAGUAGUCAGCCAUCCGGACAAACUCAUUGCCGUGAUGGUGUUACACUGCUGGGAGAGCAUUGUCUUGCCUUCUUUCUCUGGUGGUCUGUGUCGCUGUUCUGGUGGCAUAGGGCACUGGCAUAAGGCAUGACUGUGCUUCCUUGAGAGUGUGCUAAGCAUUCAGUUUGGCUGCUUGGUUCUAGUCUGGGAGCAAACAGU
ensembl:snoRNA SNORA74 Small nucleolar RNA SNORA74